rnacentral:sRNA from 1 species
UUAAAAACGGUUCUGUGAAAGUGACACGAACCGAUCUCCAUCGAUGUUACUCACCGAUCUCCUUCACGGUAAUACGCAGCGAGAGAGCGUUGCCGCAGGCAACGACCCGUAGGGCGAAGCGCGCAGCGCUGAGUAAUCCUUCCCCCACCACCA